rnacentral:lncRNA from 1 species
UGGUGGCCUAAGCCGAGCGCGCGAGGCCGGGCCGUGCGGGAGCAAAGUUUGGGGCGGGCCCGAGACAGACCCGAACCGGGUCAGAACCGGCUGUAAAGUCCCCGGGAGUCCGGGAAGAGCGGAGCCCGACUGGUUCCGAGCCAGACCGGGACCCCGGGGGGUUGAGGGAAACCCAGCCAGAAUCAGAAUCAGUCCAGAGACAGAGCUGAUGUAAAGGGGCUGCACAAGAGGACGAAGUGAAUCCUUUGGAUAUAAACAGCAGAGAGAAGGUGAUCCCAUAAUGCCAAGGGAAGUGCACGUCUGAGCUUGCAUGCAGCGGGGAGCCGUUCAGAUGCUGCCAGAUGCCACCAGAGGAGAGCUGAUUUGGAGGCAGGCGGACAGGGAGAUGUUUGGACGGGAUGUCACUUUGGAUCUUGGAGACCUCAGCAAGGACUCUCGUAGGCCAUUCAUAGCAGCUAUAGCAGGACAUCUGAGUAAGUGUCCCCCCGCAUGAGACUUCAACUCUGAGCGCAGGCUGGUGACUCGUUGUC